UACGUAGGGGGCAAGCGUUGUCCGGAUUUAUUGGGCGUAAAGAGCGUGUAGGCGGUUAGGUAGGUCCGUUGUGAAAACUCGAGGCUCAACCUCGAGACGCCGAUGGAAACCAUCUGACUAGAGUCCGGAAGAGGAGAGUGGAAUUCCUGGUGUAGCGGUGAAAUGCGCAGAUAUCAGGAAGAACACCCGUGGCUAAGGCGGCUCUCUGGGACGGUACUGACGCUGAGACGCGAAAGCGUGGGGAGCGAACAGGG
rnacentral:rRNA from 1 species